UUAAGUGACUAAGCGUACACGGUGGAUGCCUGGGCAGUCAGAGGCGAUGAAGGACGUACUAACUUGCGAUAAGCGCAGAUAAGGCAGUAAGAGCCGUUUGAGUCUGCGAUUUCCGAAUGGGGAAACCCAACUGCAUAAGCAGUUACUGUUAACUGAAUACAUAGGUUAACAGAGCAAACCGGGGGAACUGAAACAUCUAAGUACCCCGAGGAGAAGAAAUCAACCGAGAUUCCGGUAGUAGCGGCGAGCGAACCUGGAUUAGCCCUUAAGCACUCGGUGAAGUAGGUGAACAAGCUGGAAAGCUUGGCGAUACAGGGUGAUAGCCCCGUAACCGACGCUUCAUCGAGCGUGAAAUCGAGUAGGGCGGGACACGUGAUAUCCUGUCUGAAUAUGGGGGGACCAUCCUCCAAGGCUAAAUACUCCUGACUGACCGAUAGUGAACCAGUACCGUGAGGGAAAGGCGAAAAGAACCCCUGUGAGGGGAGUGAAAUAGAACCUGAAACCGUGUACGUACAAGCAGUAGGAGCACCUUCGUGGUGUGACUGCGUACCUUUUGUAUAAUGGGUCAGCGACUUAUAUUCAGUGGCAAGGUUAACCGUAUAGGGGAGCCGUAGCGAAAGCGAGUCUUAACUGGGCGCUCAGUCUCUGGAUAUAGACCCGAAACCGGGUGAUCUAGCCAUGGGCAGGUUGAAGGUUGAGUAACAUCAACUGGAGGACCGAACCGACUAAUGUUGAAAAAUUAGCGGAUGACUUGUGGCUAGGGGUGAAAGGCCAAUCAAACUCGGAGAUAGCUGGUUCUCCCCGAAAGCUAUUUAGGUAGCGCCUCGGACGAAUACUACUGGGGGUAGAGCACUGUUAAGGCUAGGGGGUCAUCCCGACUUACCAACCCUUUGCAAACUCCGAAUACCAGAAGUACUAUCCGGGAGACACACGGCGGGUGCUAACGUCCGUCGUGGAGAGGGAAACAACCCAGACCGCCAGCUAAGGUCCCAAAGUAUUGCUAAGUGGGAAACGAUGUGGGAAGGCUCAGACAGCUAGGAUGUUGGCUUAGAAGCAGCCAUCAUUUAAAGAAAGCGUAAUAGCUCACUAGUCGAGUCGGCCUGCGCGGAAGAUGUAACGGGGCUAAGCAAUACACCGAAGCUGCGGCAAUGUCUUUUAGACAUUGGGUAGGGGAGCGUUCUGUAAGCCGUUGAAGGUGAAUCGUAAGGUUUGCUGGAGGUAUCAGAAGUGCGAAUGCUGACAUGAGUAACGACAAAGGGGGUGAAAAACCUCCUCGCCGGAAGACCAAGGGUUCCUGUCCAACGUUAAUCGGGGCAGGGUGAGUCGACCCCUAAGGUGAGGCCGAAAGGCGUAAUCGAUGGGAAACGGGUUAAUAUUCCCGUACUUCUGACUAUUGCGAUGGGGGGACGGAGAAGGCUAGGUGGGCCAGGCGACGGUUGUCCUGGUUCAAGUGCGUAGGCUUGAGAGUUAGGUAAAUCCGGCUCUCUCUAAGGCUGAGACACGACGUCGAGCUACUACGGUAGUGAAGUCAUUGAUGCCAUGCUUCCAGGAAAAGCCUCUAAGCUUCAGAUAGUCAGGAAUCGUACCCCAAACCGACACAGGUGGUCGGGUAGAGAAUACCAAGGCGCUUGAGAGAACUCGGGUGAAGGAACUAGGCAAAAUGGUACCGUAACUUCGGGAGAAGGUACGCUCUUGAUGGUGAAGUCCCUCGCGGAUGGAGCUGACGAGAGUCGCAGAUACCAGGUGGCUGCAACUGUUUAUUAAAAACACAGCACUGUGCAAAAUCGCAAGAUGACGUAUACGGUGUGACGCCUGCCCGGUGCCGGAAGGUUAAUUGAUGGGGUUAGCGCAAGCGAAGCUCUUGAUCGAAGCCCCGGUAAACGGCGGCCGUAACUAUAACGGUCCUAAGGUAGCGAAAUUCCUUGUCGGGUAAGUUCCGACCUGCACGAAUGGCGUAAUGAUGGCCACGCUGUCUCCACCCGAGACUCAGUGAAAUUGAAAUCGCUGUGAAGAUGCAGUGUACCCGCGGCUAGACGGAAAGACCCCGUGAACCUUUACUACAGCUUGGCACUGAACAUUGAACCUACAUGUGUAGGAUAGGUGGGAGGCUAUGAAGACGUGACGCCAGUUGCGUUGGAGCCGUCCUUGAAAUACCACCCUUGUAUGUUUGAUGUUCUAACUUAGACCCAUUAUCUGGGUUGAGGACAGUGCCUGGUGGGUAGUUUGACUGGGGCGGUCUCCUCCCAAAGAGUAACGGAGGAGCACGAAGGUGGGCUAAUCACGGUUGGACAUCGUGAGGUUAGUGCAAUGGCAUAAGCCCGCUUAACUGCGAGAAUGACGGUUCGAGCAGGUGCGAAAGCAGGUCAUAGUGAUCCGGUGGUUCUGUAUGGAAGGGCCAUCGCUCAACGGAUAAAAGGUACUCCGGGGAUAACAGGCUGAUACCGCCCAAGAGUUCAUAUCGACGGCGGUGUUUGGCACCUCGAUGUCGGCUCAUCACAUCCUGGGGCUGAAGUCGGUCCCAAGGGUAUGGCUGUUCGCCAUUUAAAGUGGUACGCGAGCUGGGUUUAGAACGUCGUGAGACAGUUCGGUCCCUAUCUGCCGUGGGCGUUGGAAGAUUGAAGGGGGCUGCUCCUAGUACGAGAGGACCGGAGUGGACGAACCUCUGGUGUUCGGGUUGUGUCGCCAGACGCAUUGCCCGGUAGCUAAGUUCGGAAUUGAUAAGCGCUGAAAGCAUCUAAGCGCGAAGCGAGCCCUGAGAUGAGUCUUCCCUGACAGUUUAACUGUCCUAAAGGGUUGUUCGAGACUAGAACGUUGAUAGGCAGGGUGUGUAAGCGUUGUGAGGCGUUGAGCUAACCUGUACUAAUUGCCCGUGAGGCUUAACCAU
rnacentral:rRNA from 1 species